GUGGGGAAUAUUGGGCAAUGGGGGAAACCCUGACCCAGCAACGCCGCGUGAGGGAAGAAGGUUUUCGGAUUGUAAACCUCUGUCCUUGGUGACGAAGGAAGUGACGGUAACCAAGGAGGAAGCCCCGGCUAACUACGUGCCAGCAGCCGCGGUAAUACGUAGGGGGCAAGCGUUGUCCGGAAUGACUGGGCGUAAAGGGCGUGUAGGCGGCCGAUUAAGUCUGGAGUGAAAGUCCUGCUUUCAAGGUGGGAAUUGCUUUGGAGACUGGUUGGCUUGAGUGCGGAAGAGGUAAGUGGAAUUCCCAGUGUAGCGGUGAAAUGCGUAGAGAUCGGGAGGAACACCAGUGGCGAAGGCGGCUUACUGGACGGUGUCUGACACUGAGGCGCGAAAGCCAGGGGAGCGAACGGGAUUAGAAACCCCUGUAGUCC
rnacentral:rRNA from 1 species